UGAGGAAUAUUGGUCAAUGGCCGGAAGGCUGAACCAGCCAAGCCGCGUGAGGGAAGAAGGCGCUAAGCGUCGUAAACCUCUUUUGCCGGGGAACAAACGCUUCUGUUAUGGGGAGUCUGAGUGUACCCGGAGAAAAAGCAUCGGCUAACUCCGUGCCAGCAGCCGCGGUAAUACGGAGGAUGCAAGCGUUAUCCGGAUUUAUUGGGUUUAAAGGGUGCGCAGGCGGUUUUUUAAGUCAGCGGUAAAAUCGCGGGGCUCAACCUCGCCGAGCCGUUGAAACUGGGGAACUGGAGAGAGCGAGAGGUAUGCGGAAUGCGCGGUGUAGCGGUGAAAUGCUUAGAUAUCGCGCAGAACUCCGAUUGCGAAGGCAGCAUACUGGUGCUUUUCUGACGCUGAGGCACGAAAGCGUGGGUAUCGAACAGG
rnacentral:rRNA from 1 species